UUGUAUCUAACCGAGUGGUCUAAGGUGCUGGAUUAAGGUUCCAGUCUCUUCAGGGGGGCCAUGGGUUCGAAUCCUGCCGCUGCCCA